ACGCUCUCGAUCUCCCUUCUAUCUCUCCUUCGUCUCCUCCAUGUAAAGAAGCUCUCCGACAACGCCGUUCUUCCCUCUAGGGCUUCUCCUCUCUCUGCCGGUUAUGAUCUCUCCAUUGCUGUGGAGACGAAGAUUUCGGCGAGAGGCAAGACUCUGGUGGCUACUGACCGCAGCAUUUCGAUUCCAGAAGGCACCUAUGCCUGCAUUGGUGAUUAAAUUACCGAUUUCUUUGUUUUUGUUGGGGUUACGGUUUCAAAAUUGUUUUUGGUGCUGAUUUUUGGGGAUUUUUGUUUCUCUGCAACUCUGCGAUUGGGUUUUGCGUUGAAGCAUUCGAUUGACGUUGGUGCGGGGGUGAUUGACGCCGAUUACAGAAGACCGGUUGGGAUGAUACUGUUCAACCAGUCGACGAUCUCAGGUCUUCUUUCGGAUCUUGGAUCUUCUUUUCUUUCUCUCUCUCUCUCUCUCUCUCUCUCUCUCUCUCUCUCUCUCUCUCUCUCUCUCUCCGAUCUCAGAUCUUCUAUUGCUUACUUGUAUUAAGUUGUUUCUCUGAUCUCAUAUCUCAGAAAAAAUCUAUCAUAGCUUAGUUUCACAAAGCUUACAUCCUUAUUUGCGAUUACAACAUUCUUUCCAAUUCUAGCAUUUUGUCAAUAAUACAGUCUCUGCAUUUGUGACAAGAAAGAAGUGAGAACAUAUGAAAAGAGGAACCAAUGGACAAAUAUUAAGAAAAAAUCAGCACGAAGCAUCACAGUAUCCUGCAUCGACGAAGAGUUUCUUCUUAAUGUAUACAUUGGCUUUGCCGCAUCAUAAAAGCUGAACCUGGGUGGCUGAAAAUUACACAAUAUUUUCUAAGUCAGUAAGGUUAAACACCU